rnacentral:lncRNA from 1 species
GUUGUUAUUUUGCUAAGUUCAGUAAUAGAGCCAAGAUACAGGAGCAUCGGUUCGGCGGCGUUCGUCGUUGAAACUCUACUGUUUAUCUUCAACCUCCAGCCGUUCUUGUGUGUGAGAGAAAGAGAGUUUAGUUCUUGUCUUCUUGGGCUAAUUCUAACACCUAGAACGAAGCACUUGAUUUAGGCCGUGUUCGGCAAGGGCCCUUAGUUAACUUAAGACCCUCGUUUUUCGCGCGCACGCUUCCCGAGCUGCUAAACAGUGUAUUUUUUGUAAAAAAUUUCUAUAGAAAGUUGUUUUAAAAA